UACGGGGGGAGCAAGCGUUGUUCGGAUUUACUGGGCGUAAAGGGCGCGUAGGCGGCCACCGCAAGUCAAUUGUGAAAUCUCCGGGCUUAACUCGGAAAGGUCAACUGAUACUGCGGGGCUAGAGUGCGGAAGGGGCAACUGGAAUUCUCGGUGUAGCGGUGAAAUGCGUAGAUAUCGAGAGGAACACCUGCGGCGAAGGCGGGUUGCUGGGCCGACACUGACACUGAGAGACGAAAGCUAGGGGAGCGAAUGGG
rnacentral:rRNA from 1 species